GUGGGUAGUUUGACUGGGGCGGUCUCCUCCCAAAGAGUAACGGAGGAGCACGAAGGUUAGCUAAUCCUGGUCGGACAUCAGGAGGUUAGUGCAAUGGCAUAAGCUAGCUUGACUGCGAGCGUGACGGCGCGAGCAGGUGCGAAAGCAGGUCAUAGUGAUCCGGUGGUUCUGAAUGGAAGGGCCAUCGCUCAACGGAUAAAAGGUACUCCGGGGAUAACAGGCUGAUACCGCCCAAGAGUUCAUAUCGACGGCGGUGUUUGGCACCUCGAUGUCGGCUCAUCACAUCCUGGGGCUGAAGUAGGUCCCAAGGGUAUGGCUGUUCGCCAUUUAAAGUGGUACGCGAGCUGGGUUUAGAACGUCGUGAGACAGUUCGGUCCCUAUCUGCCGUGGGCGCUGGAGAAUUGAGGGGGGCUGCUCCUAGUACGAGAGGACCGGAGUGGACGCAUCACUGGUGUUCGGGUUGUCAUGCCAAUGGCAUUGCCCGGUAGCUAAAUGCGGAAGAGAUAAGUGCUGAAAGCAUCUAAGCACGAAACUUGCCCCGAGAUGAGUUCUCCCUGAGACUUUAAGU
rnacentral:rRNA from 1 species